rnacentral:rRNA from 1 species
AUUGAACGCUGGCGGAAUGCUUUACACAUGCAAGUCGAACGGCAGCACGGGGGCAACCCUGGUGGCGAGUGGCGAACGGGUGAGUAAUACAUCGGAACGUGCCCAGUCGUGGGGGAUAACGUAGCGAAAGUUACGCUAAUACCGCAUACGAUCUACGGAUGAAAGCGGGGGACCGUAAGGCCUCGCGCGAUUGGAGCGGCCGAUGUCAGAUUAGGUAGUUGGUGAGGUAAAGGCUCACCAAGCCGACGAUCUGUAGCUGGUCUGAGAGGACGACCAUCCACACUGGGACUGAGCCACGGCCCUGACUCCUACGGGAGGCAGCAGUGGGGAAUUUUGGACAAUGGGAGCAAGCCUGAUCCAGCCAUUCCGCGUGCAGGACGAAGGCCUUCGGGUUGUAAACUGCUUUUGUACGGAACGAAAAGGCUCUGGUUAAUACCUGGGGCUCAUGACGGUACCGUGAGAAUAAGCACCGGCUAACUACGUGCCAGCCGCCGCCGUAA